rnacentral:rRNA from 1 species
GACGAACGUUGGCGGCGUGCUUAACACAUGCAAGUCGAACGGAAAGGCCCUGCUUUUGUGGGGUGCUCGAGUGGCGAACGGGUGAGUAACACGUGAGUAACCUGCCCUUGACUUUGGGAUAACUUCAGGAAACUGGGGCUAAUACCGGAUAGGAGCUCCUGCUGCAUGGUGGGGGUUGGAAAGUUUCGGCGGUUGGGGAUGGACUCGCGGCUUAUCAGCUUGUUGGUGGGGUAGUGGCUUACCAAGGCUUUGACGGGUAGCCGGCCUGAGAGGGUGACCGGCCACAUUGGGACUGAGAUACGGCCCAGACUCCUACGGGAGGCAGCAGUGGGGAAUAUUGCACAAUGGGCGGAAGCCUGAUGCAGCAACGCCGCGUGCGGGAUGACGGCCUUCGGGUUGUAAACCGCUUUCGCCUGUGACGAAGCGUGAGUGACGGUAAUGGGUAAAGAAGCACCGGCUAACUACGUGCCAGCAGCCGCGGUGAUACGUAGGGUGCGAGCGUUGUCCGGAUUUAUUGGGCGUAAAGGGCUCGUAGGUGGUUGAUCGCGUCGGAAGUGUAAUCUUGGGGCUUAACCCUGAGCGUGCUUUCGAUACGGGUUGACUUGAGGAAGGUAGGGGAGAAUGGAAUUCCUGGUGGAGCGGUGGAAUGCGCAGAUAUCAGGAGGAACACCAGUGGCGAAGGCGGUUCUCUGGGCCUUUCCUGACGCUGAGGAGCGAAAGCGUGGGGAGCGAACAGGCUUAGAUACCCUGGUAGUCCACGCUGUAAACGGUGGGUACUAGGUGUGGGGUCCAUUCCACGGGUUCCGUGCCGUAGCUAACGCUUUAAGUACCCCGCCUGGGGGGUACGGCCGCAAGGCUAAAACUCAAAGGAAUUGACGGGGCCCCGCACAAGCGGCGGAGCAUGCGGAUUAAUUCGAUGCAACGCGUAGAACCUUACCUGGGUUUGACAUGGAUCGGGAGUGCUCAGAGAUGGGUGUGCCUCUUUUGGGGUCGGUUCACAGGUGGUGCAUGCCUGUCGUCAGCUCGUGUCGUGAGAUGUUGGGUUAAGUCCCGCAACGAGCGCAACCCUUGUUCACUGUUGCCAGCACGUUAUGGUGGGGACUCAGUGGAGACCGCCGGGGUCAACUCGGAGGAAGGUGGGGAUGACGUCAAGUCCUCAUGCCCCUUAUGUCCAGGGCUUCACGCAUGCUACAAUGGCUGGUACAGAGAGUGGCGAGCCUGUGAGGGUGAGCGAAUCUCGGAAAGCCGGUCUCAGUUCGGAUUGGGGUCUGCAACUCGACCUCAUGAAGUCGGAGUCGCUAGUAAUCGCAAAUCAGCAACGCUGCGGUGAAUACGUUCCCGGG